GGGAAUAACAAUGAGAAAUCAUUGCUAAUACCGCAUAUGCCAUAGGUACCACAUGGUACUAGUGGGAAAGGAGCAAUUCGCUAAAAGAUGGCCUUGCGUCUGAUUAGAUAGUUGGUAAGGUAACGGCUUACCAAGUCGACGAUCAGUAGCCGGACUGAGAGGUUGAACGGCCACAUUGGGACUGAGAUACGGCCCAGACUCCUACGGGAGGCAGCAGUCGGGAAUAUUGCGCAAUGGAGGAAACUCUGACGCAGUGACGCCGCGUAUAGGAAGAAGUUUUUCGGAAUGUAAACUAUUGUCGUUAGGGAAGAGAAAGGACAGUACCUAAGGAGGAAGCUCCGGCUAACUACGUGCCAGCAGCCGCGGUAAUACGUAGGGAGCGAGCGUUAUCCGGAAUUAUUGGGUGUAAAGGGUGCGUAGACGGGAAAACAAGUUAGUUGUGAAAUCCCUCGGCUUAACUGAGGAACUGCAACUAAAACUAUUUUUCUUGAGUGCAGGAGAGGUAAGUGGAAUUCCUAGUGUAGCGGUGAAAUGCGUAGAUAUUAGGAGGAACACCAGUGGCGAAGGCGACUUACUGGACUGUAACUGACGUUGAGGCACGAAAGUGUGGGGAGCAAACAGGAUUAGAUACCCUGGUAGUCCACACCGUAAACGAUGGA
rnacentral:rRNA from 1 species